CGAUAGCUCAGUGGUAGAGCGGUCGGCUGUUAACCGAUUGGUCGUAGGUUCAAAUCCUACUCGGGGAGAAAU
rnacentral:tRNA from 1 species